UACGUAGGGUGCAAGCGUUAAUCGGAAUUACUGGGCGUAAAGCGUGCGCAGGCGGUGAUGUAAGACAGUUGUGAAAUCCCCGGGCUCAACCUGGGAAUUGCAUUCGAGACUGAAUAGCUAGGGUACGGUAGAGGGAAGUGGAAUUUCCGGUGUAGCGGUGAAAUGCGUAGAUAUCGGAAGGAACAUCAGUGGCGAAAGCGACUUCCUGGACCAGUACCGACGUCAGGCACGAAAGCGUGGGGAGCAAACAGG
rnacentral:rRNA from 1 species